CAGAUAGAGUUCACCUCAGAUUGACAGUGAAUUUCUCUUUUCUUCUCCAUUCUGUAUGUCUCCUAUCACUGAAUCUUUCUUUGCUUUUCUGCUUCCACUUUGAUUUUCUAAGUUUAGUUUGGACCAGAAUUCCAGAAAGCAGUGGUGAUAUGCUCCAUCUGAAGAUGAGGAUGCAUGUAUAAGGAGAAAGUGCUUGGCACUGCUGAUUCUGCUGGGCUUGAGCUAGUAUUAUAGAAGUAGGAAACUCUACUGUGGAGCAGAAAAAAACACUUCAUUGGGAGUCAGGAAACCUGGAUUCUAGUCCCAGAAUAACCUUGGAUUAAUGAGUAGAUGUGGCUCAAGCUAGAAAUCCUGUUGUAGCUGCAACCAGAAGGCAAGGACCCCAGCUCCUCCACUACAUUAGAGGAAGGAUCAGUUGUUGUCUCCCAACAAUUGCAGUAGCAGAUGAGAGCUGGAAUCUAAGGAGUUAUGAAGACUCUCAGCUAUGGCCAUAACUUAACUCCAAACCCUGAUUACACUGGGGAGUACUGGUACUUCCCUAAUUAUGCAGCUAAAAGCCAACAACACAUGGACUGUAUCUUACUUCCGGAGCCCGACACCCCUGCCUGCUGCUCCAGAAUGCAGUCAGCAGUGGGAGACACCUACAUCUUCUUGUCUCUUAAGAUUGUCUCCAGAGAGAUUGUUCUAGAAGGCUUUGUUUGUGUGCUGCCUGGUCGUUUUCUGUUGUUUGUACAAUAGGAUACCAAAUAAA